GCCAGGCGUGGUGACUCACGCCUGUAAUCCCAGCACUUUGGGAGGCCGAGGUGGGCGGAUCACUUGAGGUCAGGAGUUUGAGACCAGCCUGGCCAACAUAGUGAAACCCCAUCUCUA
rnacentral:SRP_RNA from 1 species